rnacentral:tRNA from 1 species
GGGCCGAUGGUCUAAUGGUAAGACGCUGCCUCGGCGAGGCAGAGAUUGGGGGUUCGAAUCUUUGAAAGAAAAUCCCCCUCGGUCCA